AGGGAAGUAGUAUAGCCUGGUAAUUCUGCCCGGGAUCGAUUUUUUUGCCCGGGCGGCAUGCUCAAAUUCGACGCCGCUGGGACCGGGCGAUCGGGGGUUCAAAUCCCCCCUUCCCUA
rnacentral:tRNA from 1 species